rnacentral:rRNA from 1 species
UGCGCAGGCUGUUGAGUAAGACAGAUGUGAAAUCCCUGAGCUUAACUUAGGAAUUGCAUUCGAUACUGGGAAGCUAGAGUAUGGGAGAGGAUGGUAGAAUUCCAGGUGUAGCGGUGAAAUGCGUAGAGAUCUGGAGGAAUACCGAUGGCGAAGGCAGCCAUCUGGCCUAAUACUGACGCUGAGGUACGAAAGCAUGGGGAGCAAACAGGAUUAGAUACCCUAGUA